rnacentral:rRNA from 1 species
AAAGAAAGGAGUGGCGAACGGGUGAGUAACACGUGGGUAACCUGCCCAUCAGAAGGGGAUAACACUUGGAAACAGGUGCUAAUACCGUAUAACAAUCGAAACCGCAUGGUUUCGGUUUGAAAGGCGCUUUUGCGUCACUGAUGGAUGGACCCGCGGUGCAUUAGCUAGUUGGUGAGGUAACGGCUCACCAAGGCAACGAUGCAUAGCCGACCUGAGAGGGUGAUCGGCCACAUUGGGACUGAGACACGGCCCAAACUCCUACGGGAGGCAGCAGUAGGGAAUCUUCGGCAAUGGACGAAAGUCUGACCGAGCAACGCCGCGUGAGUGAAGAAGGUUUUCGGAUCGUAAAACUCUGUUGUUAGAGAAGAACAAGGAUGAGAGUAGAAUGUUCAUCCCUUGACGGUAUCUAACCAGAAAGCCACGGCUAACUACGUGCCAGCAGCCGCGGUAAUACGUAGGUGGCAAGCGUUGUCCGGAUUUAUUGGGCGUAAAGCGAGCGCAGGCGGUUUCUUAAGUCUGAUGUGAAAGCCCCCGGCUCAACCGGGGAGGGUCAUUGGAAACUGGGAAACUUGAGUGCAGAAGAGGAGAGUGGAAUUCCAUGUGUAGCGGUGAAAUGCGUAGAUAUAUGGAGGAACACCAGUGGCGAAGCGGCUCUCUGGUCUGUAACUGACGCUGAGGCUCGAAAGCGUGGGGAGCAAACAGGAUUAGAUACCCUGGUAGUCCACGCCGUAAACGAUGAGUGCUAAGUGUUGGAGGUUUCCGCCCUUCAGUGCUGCAGCUAACGCAUUAAGCACUCCGCC